rnacentral:lncRNA from 1 species
UAUGCUCCACAAUCUCAGAGUCUAAACCAGGCAUGUCUUAAUAGGACCAAACAAACACAUCUGAAUAUUCUCGAAGAAGAUCAAUCAACCCCUUCUUAGCCUCUAGACACAGUUGAGACCCAAUCUUGACCUCAUUCACAUCAUCUUUGGAACCCAAGUUGACUAGUUCAAUCUGCUCUUCAAAUGGUUGAAUGGCUUUUUCCUCGUGCUCAAGUAGACGAG